CAUUUCGAACCGACGUCGAGUAUCCGAACUGUACAUGGGGCCAGUACAAGUGCGUCAUGCAAACAAAAGAAGACUUCGCGGGCAGCGCGACGGAGCUGCGCGCGUUCCAGAACUGCUUCCAGAAGUGCGACUACGUGCAGUACGGCGCAGAGGUGGAGUACGUCGAGCUCACGUCCAAGCUCACCGCCAGGAUACUGGAUAA